rnacentral:rRNA from 1 species
UACAGGUGUUGCAUGGCUGUCGUCAGCUCGUGUCGUGAGAUGUUCGGUUAAGUCCGCUAACGAGCGCAACCCUCGUCGUAUGUUAUAUGUGUCAUACGAGACUGCCGGUAAAAAGCCGGAGGAAGGUGAGGAUGAUGUCAAGUCAGCAUGACCUUUAUACUCCAGGGCUACACACACGCUACAAUGGUCUGUACAAUGGGUAGCCAAGCCGCGAGGCGGAGCCAAUCCUGAAAGCAGGCCUCAGUUCAGAUUGCAGUCUGCAACUCGACUGCAUGAAGCCGGAGUUGCUAGUAACCGCAGGUCAGCAAUACUGCGGUGAAUACCGGUUCCCGGGUCUU